CAUGCCACUGCACCUGCCUAAU
rnacentral:miRNA from 1 species